AAAAGGAGAGCCUGCCUUGCUAAGUCGCGUGACGGUAGACGAGUGGUAGACGAGUGAAAAUGAACGUGGGCAAUCACUAGCUGGGUGGAGCCUGACAGAGCAAAAAGCUACAGCAUGCCUACGCAUUGCAAACUCUAAAUAAAAGCUGUUAGCAUCGUAGAUAGUAAGCCAGAAUCAAGCGUGGAGAUACCGUAGACGAGGGCUUACCUAGUAAAGACUAAAGAGACUAAUUAAUAUCUAAAUUUAGCUCAGUUUUUUUUCCUGAGUUCAGAACAGACCCACUUGAAUAGUAGAUAUAAUUAUUACAGCAGUAUAGUCUACUCUACUCUAGUCUUUCAUACUUCCUCUACUGACUAAAGGUAUCAUGAAGGCUGACUCUACUGCACUGUACUGUACUACCGGUAUACUGUUCAUAACAGAUUAUGUUCCUGGUAAAUGCGCUCCAAGUACUGUGUGGGAGGACAGUUAUUGAGGUUCAAGUGUUGUAGUGCUAGUGGCUACAAAACCAAGAAUUGCCGAUUGACUGGCUAUAUCAACAACUGGGAUGGGUAUAUGAACUACCAUUCUCACUCCGUCUUUGUUGGUGCUUAUAGUCACCAUUCCAAUCGCAAGGAAGAUCGUCUCUGGAAGAUUUUGGAGUGUGACUACAAAAAGUGAGGAAGAACUGAGAGAAAAAGUGUGGAUCUAUAUAUUCAAUGAACAUGUGUAGUAAAACUAAUAAGUUUAGUCAGUAUACGUAUAGAUAGCCUAAAAUUGAGUCUGCUCAGUCUGUCCACACAGUAUAUAUAAUGAAGAAGUCUCAUCAAUGUACACAUUGUACACUACAUAAUGGAAUGUCAGAUAUUAAUUUGUUCCUUGUUAGGCACAUGCAAUUAGGCAGUCAUAGUUUUUAUGGUACAAAAGUACGUAUGAUAAUUACUUCACGGCAGGAACUUUCACUAACAGUUACAUAGCUAAACCAAAACACUAAUCAGAACCUUUUGCGCUCAUGCAGACUACGUAAUCCUAUUAGUAUAAAAGAUAUCACUCACUUCAUAAUUAUACUAAGCAACAAGGAGCAUUGUGGAGCUGAUCACAAGAAGAAAAAACGAAAAGAAAUUCUUUGACAAUGAACUGGCAAGCCUUUGUUGGACUGUUGCUUUUCGUCUCAGUGUUCUCUGCUGAGGGACCAGAAUAACUUCGACCAGCCACUGCACGUCAAUUGUCAAUCAAAAAAGGCUCUUUCUGGAGUCAGGAGCAUCUAUCAUAAUCACUACAGGAUAGACGUUUUCAAUUCCUUUGCAAAAGCAUUACGUCUUACGCUUUCUCUAAAUGCUUCUGGACCGGGUAUGAGAAUCAAUGGGACCAGCCUCUCCUCUUCCAGUGUCCUACUGACCAUGUGAUGUCCGGAGUGAAGAGUAUCCAUAACAAUGGCAAAGAGGAUAGAUUGUGGCAGUUUAAGUGUUGCAAGGCUCCUUGCCAUCAAACGAAGAGUUGUGAGUUGUCCAAGUUCAUCAAUAACUGGAGAGGACUCAUUAACUAUAAUGCUCCUGCUAAUAAGGUGUUUGUGGGUGCCUUCAGCUACCAUGACAACGGACAAGAAGAUCGUAGGUGGAAGAUGCUGCAGUGUGAAUAUAAGAAAGACAAGUAAAGCAAAGCCUAGCUGUGCCAACAACUUUUAUAUGUAGUCUUUUACACAUGAACUGAACAGAUAGAUAAUUUCGUACAAACAGUAUAGAUAAUUUAAGUGUAUAUACUGUAUAGCUGAAACUGUUGGGCACUCUCAGACAAAACUGCUUGUGUUUUCAGUAUAAUAUAAAUGUCCUAAACCAAUGCCAGAUUGAUGUGUG